rnacentral:tRNA from 1 species
UGUGGGGUAGUUGAAUUGGUACAACGUCCGGCUGUUAACCGGAAGGUUGGGGGUUCGAUUCCCUCCCCCACAGCCA